UACAGAGGUCCCAAGCGUUGUUCGGAUUCACUGGGCGUAAAGAGCGUGUAGGCGGCCAUGCAGGUCAGCUGUGAAAACUCGAGGCUCAACCUCGAGACGUCGGUUGAAACCGUAUGGCUAGAGUCCGGAAGAGGAGAGUGGAAUUCCCGGUGUAGCGGUGAAAUGCGCAGAUAUCGGGAAGAACACCCGUGGCGAAGGCGGCUCUCUGGGACGGUACUGACGCUGAGACGCGAAAGCGUGGGGAGCGAACAGG
rnacentral:rRNA from 1 species